rnacentral:lncRNA from 1 species
UUUUUGUAAGUGGUCCUUUCACUUCUUGAGCAAUGAAGAUGAAGAAGAACACAACAUAAGAUUAACGAAAGUCUGUUUAUACGAUGAAUUAUGGUUGAUAUGUAUCUAUUAUUAUCACUUUUUAAUUGAAGUACCUACAUUGCUUUCUCUUAUGUAGGAUGAUGCUUCUCUACAGUGGAUGAUGAAAGCAUGCUGAUUACAAACCCAGGAGAGGAAUAAAGAACAGAUAUUGACAGAAUCAUAUCUAGAGAUGUGGGCCUACUGCACUUCAUACAAGCAAGUGUGCUAAUAUACCAUACUUGGGUUAUCAUCACAGCCCUUUCUUCUGAAAACUAGCCUACAACUUCAUCGAUGAAUGCAGAAGACAUCUACAUGGGACUACGUCUUAAAGAUGCCC